CUGACACAGGGAGGUAGUGACAAUAAAUAACAAUGCCGGGCCUUUAUAGGUCUGGCAAUUGGAAUGAGAACAAUUUAAACCCCUUAUCGAGUAUCAAUUGGAGGGCAAGUCUGGUGCCAGCAGCCGCGGUAAUUCCAGCUCCAAUAGCGUAUAUUAAAGUUGUUGCAGUUAAAAAGCUCGUAGUUGGAUUUGUGGUGUAUGUUGGCGGCCUGUCACUAUGUGUCGGAGCUUGCUAACGUCGCCAUCCUUGGGUGGAUCCUGUGUGGCAUUAAGUUGUCGUGCAGGGGAUGCCCAUCUUUUACUGUGAGUUAAUUAGAGUGUUCAAAGCAGGCUUAUGCCGUUGAAUAUGCUAGCAUGGAAUAAUGAGAUAGGACCUUGGUACUAUUUUGUUGGUUUGCGCACCAAGGUAAUGAUUAAUAGGGACAGUUGGGGGUAUUCGUAUUCCAUUGUCAGAGGUGAAAUUCUUGGA
rnacentral:rRNA from 1 species